AGUGAACGCUGGCGGCGUGCCUAACACAUGCAAAUCGAGCGAGGUAUACAGUACACCGUAUGACCUAGCGGUAGACGGGUGAGUAACACGUGAGAAACCUUCCCUCGAAUGGGGAACACCCCCGAGAAAUCGGGGUUAAUACCCCGUAAGACCACAGUCCGGCAUCGGACAGAGGUCAAAGGCGCAAGUCGUUUGAGGAUGGUCUCGCGUCCUAUCAGCUUGUUGGUGAGGUAACGGCCCACCAAGGCUAUGACGGGUAUCCGGCCUGAAAGGGCGAUCGGACACACUGGAACUGAGACACGGUUCAGACUCCUACGGGAGGCAGCAGUGGGGAAUUUUGGACAAUGGGCGAAAGCCUGAUCCAGCGACGCCGCGUGGAGGAUGACGGCCUUCGGGUUGUAAACUCCUUUUAGAGGGGACGAAUAAAUUGACGGUACCCUCAGAAAAAGCCACGGCUAACUACGUGCCAGCAGCCGCGUAA
rnacentral:rRNA from 1 species